rnacentral:rRNA from 1 species
UACGUAGGGUGCAAGCGUUAAUCGGAAUACUGGGCGUAAAGCGUGCGCAGGCGGCUAUGCAAGACAGAUGUGAAAUCCCCGGGCUCAACCUGGGAACUGCAUUUGUGACUGCAUGGCUAGAGUACGGUAGAGGGGAUGGAAUUCCGCGUGUAGCAGUGAAAUGCGUAGAUAUGCGGAGGAACACCGAUGGCGAAGGCAAUCCCCUGACCUGUACUGACGCUCAUGCACGAAAGCGUGGGGAGCAACAGG